rnacentral:misc_RNA from 1 species
UUAAGUUCAGCGGGUAUCCCUACCUGAUCCGAGGUCAAAAUAAAAAAGAGGCUUAUGGGAGCCGAUUCAGAGGACUCGAGACCGCGUUUCUGCUGCGCUCGAAGCCAAUGUACCGGCCGCCAAUGUUUUUGAGGCGAGUCCCCCCGCGAGGAGAGGACAGUCACCCAUCACAAGCUGAGCUUGAAGGUUUAAAUGACGCU